rnacentral:rRNA from 1 species
ACGGCUCAGUAACACGUAGCUAACCUACCCUUAGGACGUGGACAACCCCGAGAAAUUGGGGCUAAUCCGCGAUAGAUGUAUUGUCCUGGAAUGGUAUUACGUCUAAAGGUAUCCCAUACAUGUUUGGUAUAUGCCUAAGGAUGGGGCUGCGGCCGAUCAGGCUGUUGGUGAGGUAAUGGCUCACCAAACCUUUGACCGGUACGGGCCAUGAGAGUGGUAGCCCGGAGAUGGACACUGAGACAAGGGUCCAGGCCCUACGGGGCGCAGCAGGCGCGAAACCUCCUCAAUGCACUUACGUGCGAAGGGGCUACCUCGAGUGCCACCUGAUGAAGGUGGCUUUUCCUAGGUCUAAAAAGCCUUGGGAAUAAGAGGGGGGCAAGACUGGUGUCAGCCGCCGCGGUAACACCAGCCCCUCGAGUGGUGGGGAUGAUUAUUGGGCCUAAAGCGUCCGUAGCCUGCCGUAUAAGUUUCCCGUUAAAUCCAGCGUCUUAAGCGUUGGACCGCGGGAAAUACUGUACGGCUAGAGAGUGGGAGAGGUCAGCGGUAUUCUGGGGGUAGGGGCGAAAUCCUUUGAUCCCCGGAGGACCACCAGUGGCGAAGGCUGCUGUCUAGAACACGUCUGACGGUCAGGGACGAAAGCUGGGGUAGCGAACCGGAUUAGAUACCCGGGUAGUCCCAGCCGUAAACGAUGCAUGCUAGGUGUUGGGUUGGCCACGAGCCACCCCAGUGCCGCAGGGAAGCCGUUAAGCACGCCGCCUGGGAAGUACGAUCGCAAGGUUGAAACUUAAAGGAAUUGGCGGGGGAGCACCACCAGGCGUGAAGCCUGCGGUUUAAUUGGAGUCAACGCCGGA